GAGUCAUGAUUCUGGCUCUGAAGGAACGCUUGAAAUACGUUUGACACAUGCGAAUCGCGCCGGUCUGAGAAUUCAGGUGGGCGGUGCACGGGUGAGUAGCAGGCCGAGAUCUACCCAGGGGUCUGGAAUAGGGGCCUCACCGCCCAACUCCGGAUAACGAAAAACCGUUUGCCCCUGGAUGACUUGGCUCUGGAUUCAAGGUAGUUGGUGGGGUAAAGGCCCAACCAAGCCACUGAUCCAUGGUUGGCUCGAGCGAAUCGACAGCCACAUCGGAACUGAGAUAAGGUCCGAUCUCCUUUGGAGGCAGCAGUGCAGAAUACUCGGCAAUGGGCUCACGCCUGACCGGGCGAUAUUUCGUGAAGGAAAGUUAGAAGGCAGACUUGCUGUAAACUUUGUUAGACGGAGAGAAUCAUGAUGGUAUCCGUUGAAAGCGCCGGGCAAUCUCUGUGCCAGCAGCCGCGGGUAGACAGAUGGCGCAGGUGUUCUUCACCAUAACUGGGUGUUAAGGUAGCGCAGACCGUCGAGCUGGGGUCGUGUUAAAGGCAGGAAUGGCAGACUGUUCCGCGCCUCCACACCGGCCGACUAUGAGAUAGAUGGAGGGCAGGGGAAUUGCCGGUCUAGGGUUGGAAUCCAUUGAGAUCGGUAGGAACUCUCGAGGCGAAGGCGCCUGCCUAACGCUAUUCUGACGUUCAGGCUAGAAAGCUUGGGGAGCAAACAGGAUGUGCAGCCUGGUAGUCCAAGCCGUAAACGAUAAGUGCUAAGCCGUUCCACUAAAGAGCGGUUAAAGCUUACGCGUGAAGCACUUCACCUGGGUAGUACAGCCGCAAGGCCGAAACUUAAAUGAAAUUGGCGGGAGUUUUUACAAGCAGUGGAGCAUGUGGCUUAAUUUGAUGAAGCGCAGCAAACCUUACCAGUAUAGGACUGUGCGCCGACGAGUCGGCCGGAAUCCGUAAACACAGUCAGGAGCGGUGCAUGGUUAUCGCAAGUCCGUGUCGUGAGAUGUCGUGAAUACCGAAAGGUAAUAUCGCCUACGGACACAAUCUAUCCCCGCCGGCCCUCCGCAGUCGGAGACCUGCCGGCGGUGGCCUCCAUUACGGCCCGGCCCCGCUACCCGCGAGGGAAGGCCGUGUGCCGUGGUGUGAGUAGAUUAAGCUAAAUCAUCAUGCCCUCUGUAUGCUGGGCGGCUCACGUGCUACAUUGGGAGUCAACCAGCGGGAAUGCCGACCAACCUGUCGGCCGAACCCUAAUAGCCUCCCUACGUCCCGAUUGCCCUCUGAAACGGGGGCAUGAAGGCGGAAUUGCCAGUAAUCGCGAAUCAGCAUGGCGCGGUGAACCCGUUAAAUAACUCUGUACACACAGCCUGUCACGUUCUGGGAGUUGAAGUGUUUAAGGCGUCUUGGAGGCCCGCCGGCUUCGGCCGGUGGGUGGAUGAGCGCGGGAGCGUUUCAGCGACUGGAACGAAGUCAUAACAAGGUAAUCCUAAGGGAACUUGGGGUUG
rnacentral:rRNA from 1 species